rnacentral:rRNA from 1 species
CAACUUUCAACAACGGAUCUCUUGGUUCUCGCAUCGAUGAAGAACGCAGCGAAAUGCGAUACGGUAAUGUGAAUUGCAGAAUUCAGUGAAUCAUCGAAUCUUUGAACGCACAUUGCACUCCUUGGUAUUCCGAGGAGUAUGCCUGUUUCAGUAUCAUG